rnacentral:rRNA from 1 species
UACGGGGGGGCAAGCGUUGUUCGGAAUUACUGGGCGUAAAGCGCGCGCGGGCGGUCACGCAGGUCAUCUGUGAAAGCACUCGGCUCAACCGGGAUGUUGCGGGUGAAACCGCGUGACUUGAGGGUGGGAGAGGUCGGUGGAAUUCCCGGUGUAGUGGUGAAAUGCGUAGAGAUCGGGAGGAACGACCGUAGCCGAAGGCGGCCGACUGGACCACACCUGACGCUGAGGCGCGAAGGCCAGGGAGCGAACGGG